rnacentral:rRNA from 1 species
GAUCUCAGCUCAAGCAAGACUACCCGCUGAAUUUAAGCAUAUUAAUAAGCGGAGGAAAAGAAAAUAACAAUGAUUCCCUCAGUAACGGCGAGUGAAGCGGGAAGAGCUCAAAUUUUAAAGCUACAUGGUUUCCAUGUCGCGUUGUAAAUUCAAGAAACGUUUUCUCAUACAGCCCCGGUUUAAGUUCGCUGGAAUGCGAUAUCAUAGAGGGUGAGAAUCCCGUCUGUGACUGGGUGUCUGUGUGUCUACGAUACGUUUUCGAAGAGUCAGGUUGUUUGGGAAUGCAGCCUAAAAUGGGUGGUAAAUUUCAUCUAAAGCUAAAUAUUGCCACGAGACCGAUAGCGAACAAGUACCGUGAGGGAAAGAUGAAAAGAACUUUGAAAAGAGAGUUAAAUAGUACGUGAAACUGUUAAAAGGGAAUCAUAUGAGGCUAGUAUUUGUACUUGUCAUAAUCAAUC